rnacentral:rRNA from 1 species
UGCGUAGACGGCAUGCUAAGUCAACUGUUAAAUUCCUCGGCCUAACCGAGGAUCAGCGGUAGAAACUGGCGCGCUUGAGGGUGAGAGAGAGAAGUGGAAUUCUCGGAGUAGCGGUAAAAUAGCGUAGAUCUCGAGAGGAACACCGAUGGCGAAGGCAGCUUCUUGGCUCACUUCUGACGUUGAGGCACGAAAGCGUGGGGAGCAAACA